AGGAUAGCUGUCAGUGUUUUAGAAAGUCAAAGAAGGCUGCUGGGCUUAAAAUGUCAUGAGACCAAGAGACAGUGGAGCAAUGCAUGUUUGAAAAGGUACAAAGGGCUCAGAUCAAACAUAGCUUCUAGAUCAUAGUGAGGAGGUUGGAGUUUAUUUGAAAUCAAUGGAAAGUUUAAAGAUUUUUCUUUACCAUAGUGGCAUGGCCCAGUUAAUGUUUUAAGGAUAUCUAUACAUGACAUAUACAACAGAUAUGAAGGACCAGGAAUAAAAUUAAGAAGAUAUGUAAAGAUGCUGUUUGAUCUCUAACAGGGGGAAUGUGGUUUCAUUUUUGGAGGCUUAGACAGGACCAGUUUUGGAACUGGUUUGAGAGUUUGAUUUGAGAGUGCUAAAUUUAAGAUAGCUGUAAGAUGUCCAAAUGUCAAUAUGUAAAUAUCCAGUAUUUACAUAUAAUUUAAAGGCAUGGAAAUGUAUUAAUUACUAAAGGGAAAGAGAAAAGAAGCUCAGAAGGAAUUCCAAUAUUCAGAUGUGACAUAUAGAAGAAAGUGUCGACAUGAAAGAAUUAUCCGCCAGAGAAUUCAGAGGAAAAUCAAGAAUGCAUUAUAUCAUGAAAGUAAAGAAAGGAUAAUGACCCAAAAAAGAGCUUGGGGCAAGAUGGCCGACUAGACACAGCAAGUGGAAUUACCGCCAGCAAGGGACUGAGACAACUGGCGCACUCCUAACAAAUCAUCCGAUGGAAGGCACCAGGAGUGGCCGAGGGAAGACACAGAAGGAAGCUGGGCUGAAACAGGAGGAACAUUGCACUGGGCUACCAUGCGCUGGGACUUGUUCCUGGCCCCCAAGGACUCUCAGGGAAUGGGUUUAAGGUGUACAUCUUCAGGUUCAACACAUGGACAAAUUUUGUGUUACUGAGGUUUGGCGUAUGAAUGAUCCCAUCACCCAGCUAGAAUUCAAGCCUUAGAUAUUUUGAGUUUUUAAAGUUCCAGAUCCUUGAGGAAUCGCGACACUGUCUUACACAAUGGUUGAACUAAUUUAUACGCCCACCAACAGUGUAAAAGCCUUCCUAUUUCUCUACAACCUCUCCAGUAACUGUUUUUUCCUGACUUUUUAAUGAUCGCCAUUCUAACUGGCAUGAGAUGGUAUCUCAUUGUGGUUUUGAUUUGCAUUUCUCUAACAACCAGUGAUGAUGACCUUUUUUUCAUGUUUUUUGGCCGCAUAAAUGUCUUCUUUUGAAAGUGUCUGUUUAUAUCCUUUGCCCAGUUUUGAUGUUUUUUUUUUAUUUUCUUGUAAAUUUGUGUAAGUGCCUUGUAGAUUCUGGAUAUUAGCCCUUUGUCAGAUGGAGAGAUUGCAAAAUUUUCUCCCAUUCUGUAGGUUGCCUGUUGACUCCGACGAUAGUUUCUUUUGCCAUGCAGAAGCUCUUUAGUUUAAUUAAAUCCCAUUUGUCUACUUUG
rnacentral:lncRNA from 1 species